AGUGAACGCUGGCGGUAGGCCUAACACAUGCAAGUCGAACGGCAGCACAGUAAGAGCUUGCUCUUACGGGUGGCGAGUGGCGGACGGGUGAGGAAUACAUCGGAAUCUACUUUUUCGUGGGGGAUAACGUAGGGAAACUUACGCUAAUACCGCAUACGACCUACGGGUGAAAGCAGGGGAUCUUCGGACCUUGCGCGAUUGAAUGAGCCGAUGUCGGAUUAGCUAGUUGGCGGGGUAAAGGCCCACCAAGGCGACGAUCCGUAGCUGGUCUGAGAGGAUGAUCAGCCACACUGGAACUGAGACACGGUCCAGACUCCUACGGGAGGCAGCAGUGGGGAAUAUUGGACAAAGGGCGCAAGCCUGAUCCAGCCAUACCGCGUGGGUGAAGAAGGCCUUCGGGUUGUAAAGCCCUUUUGUUGGGAAAGAAAAGCAGCAGGUUAAUACCCCGCUGUUCUGACGGUGCCCAAAGAAUAAGCACCGGCUAACUUCGUG
rnacentral:rRNA from 1 species